rnacentral:sRNA from 1 species
GACUGGCAGUGACACGGCAGGAUGAGAACCUCAAGGUUCGACUAACACGCGAAGCGUGUUAGAACGUUGCCGCGAAGCGGCAGCGGCCCGGAGGGCAAGGAACGAAGUGACGAGUAAUCCUGCCGUCCCAGCCA